rnacentral:tRNA from 1 species
GCCCGGGUGGCGGAAUAGGCAGACGCGCAUGGUUGAGGGCCAUGUGCCCGUUAGGGCGUGCUGGUUCGACUCCAGUCCCGGGCA